rnacentral:tRNA from 1 species
AGUAGCUCAGCUGGUUAGAGCGCACCCCACUCUUUAUCGAUAAAAAGGGGUGAGGUCGGUGGUUCAAGUCCACUCU